GACGAACGCUGGCGGCGUGCUUAACACAUGCAAGUCGAACGGAAAGGCCCUGCUUUUGUGGGGUGCUCGAGUGGCGAACGGGUGAGUAACACGUGAGUAACCUGCCCUUGACUUUGGGAUAACUUCAGGAAACUGGGGCUAAUACCGGAUAGGAGCUCCUGCUGCACGGGGGGGGUUGGAAAGUUUCGGCGGUGGGGGAUGGACUCGCGGGUUAUGAGCCGGUUGGUGGGGUAGUGGCUUACCAAGGCUUUGACGGGUAGCCGGCCUGGGAGGGUGGCCGGCCACCUUGGGCCUGAGAUAGGGCCCAGUCGCCUACGGGCGGCAACGGGGGAGAAUAUUGCACAAUGGGCGGAAGCCUGAUGCGGCAACGCCGCGUGCGGGAUGACGGCCUUCGGGUUGUAAACCGCUUUCGCCUGUGGCGAAGCGUGAGUGACGGUAAUGGGUAAAGAAGCACCGGCUAACUACGUG
rnacentral:rRNA from 1 species